AAAUUAUUUCAUUAUCUAUGAAAUCCAUAUGGUAUAUGAAGAUAUUUCAUUAUCUAUAAAAUGUGUAUGGUGUAUGAAGAUAUUUCAUGAUCUAUAAAAUGUGUAUGGUAUAUGAAAAUAUUUCAUUACCUAUAAAAUGUGUAUGAUAUAUGAAGAUAUUUAAUGAUCUAUAAAAUGUGUAUGGUAUAUGAAAAUAUUUCAUUACCUAUAAAAUGUGUAUGGUAUAUGAAGAUAUUUCAUGAUCUAUAAAAUGUGUAUGGUAUAUGAAGAUAUUUCAUGAUCUAUAAAAUGUGAAUGGUAUA